CCUGACACCUGAGCCAAGUGCAAUGAAAGUUAACUGGAAAAGUCUCCCUGGUGUGUGCCUGGGUGGAGGAAAAUACCACCCUGGUCCUCUGCUUGCUGAGACCUGGGUGCCCCUUCAGAGACAGUUGCUGUGCUAAUGGAACAGGGGCAUUCUGGAGAUCAAACACUAAUAACCACCUUGCUUCUCCUCAUGAUUACUGUUUGUUCUGAGAGUAGACAUGGCUCAGGUUCCCCUUCCUGCUGACCUGGAUAAGCAGCAUGAGAGUGAAAGUAUUAUUUAGACAACAAACAGGUUUCUGCUUUUCUCAUGUUUACAGGAAAGAAAACAGAAACUCAAAGGAUGAUACUGAUCCGGAACAUGUGACUCAUUAGUAGUCCAUGGGCGAGUGUAACCACAAAGUGAUAACUUGCAAAGGCGGAGUUUGACCCUCCGCACCCGAGCCUGGAACAUCAGUCCUGAUACCACGACUCCUCUCAGACAGUAGGAAGCCUGACAUGGGAGAGGGACAGAGAGCAAGGACUGCGGUCUGCUGCUCAGGACCAGGAGGAGUCCUCCACGAGAGGGAACCUCAAGUUUCGAAGGUGGCAGCACCAAGACUUGCCUGGCCUUUGCUGUGCAUUGAGCAGUGAAACGGAAGCCGUGAGCCUUGGACUCGAGCUGCUGACAGAGCAGCCCUCAUGGGAUGUGGCUGUGGAAUUUCCCAUUUCUGUGUGAGAAUCUUUCCUCAGAAGAGCGGUGAGACCCAGCUGUACGUGUGCACAGUCACGUGGCUACAGGGGUAGCAGCACUCACUUGCUCUCCCCUCAGGUCUGCCAGGUGCUGCCCUCUGUCAGCUAGAUGUCUGUCUUCCUCCUCCAGGUGCCCAUCAGGAAGUAUUGGUGGCUUUUGCUUCAGCUUUCAAUAUGUUGUGCUGAAUUUGUUCAGAACAUUUAAAUUCAUAAAAAUCCUUUGGGAGAAAUUAAAAUUUUUAAGUAAAGAUUCACCCCUUAUGUGUCUGUCCCUGCCCAUUGUGUAGGGGUUAGCAAUGGAUGGUUCCUGAAGCUUGGCUGUGGGACAUAGGAGGAGAGAAUAUGAGAUUUUCUAAGGAAAAUUUGGCACGCACCCCUCCACCCCACUUGAAAAUAAUGAGUAAGAGUCACUGAAAUUCUCACACAUUAACCUUACUCAUGUGUGCUUGAGAAAAACACCUAUGAGAGAAGCAGCCUUGUCUAUUAACAACUUGAUUCAGCUGUGUAUUCAGGCCUGAAAGGCAUUUGGGCACCAUGUGUGACUGAUUACAUCAGCUCACUCUUCCUUCAGGGUUUUCUGUUGGUUUCCAUGUCACUGUGGAAUGAUUGCACCCAAAGACAUCCUUCCGAAGGGCCACUUACAGGACACCUGUGACAGAGGUUUAAUAUUAAACUUGUCUGCAUAACUCAUUGUGUGAAAUCUCCUUAUUUUAACAACAGUUUAAGGUGAAGUUUUUUAUCAUUGCUUCUCAAAACUGACUUCAAAAUACUGUUGUUUAAAAAAAAGUACUAAGAGUACUGUUGUGUUUGCCCCACACAAAUGAUAACCAUGUGAGGUAGUGCAUGUGCUAAUUAGCGAGAUGUAGCCAUUCUACAAUAUGUAUGUACUGUACUUCAAAACAUCACUUAGCAUAUGAUAAAUACCUAUAAUUUUAUCUGUCGAUUUAGAAAGGUAAAAUAACACUUUAUAGGUUUGAAGCAUUUCUUUAGAGGAGAGUGCUUACUAUAUGCUUGCUAUUCAACAGUACUCAGCUUGAAGGAAAGGCCCAUUAUCGAUUAGUGCUAUUACAUUUGAAGCCUAAAAUUAUGGCUAAGAUUCAUACCCUUUUAAUUGUAAAAGCCUUACAACGAUUUGCACAAAACCUUAUCAUGCCAAAGCAACAUUCUUCCUGGUGAAGAUUAUUUAAUCAUUUACUUAAUAGCAAGAUAUAGUGAGAUUCUGUUCUUGGGUCCAUAUCAUGCUAAUUGUGGGGGAAAUAAAACACGAUCAGCCAAAGUGUAUUUUCUGGAAAAUCUUACUAUUUAGUGAGGGGGGACAAGCUGAAUUGCAAUGUGAUGAGCUAAGCUGAGAGCCCAGAGAGCAUUCACACACACACACACACACACACACACAUGCAUGUCUGUGUAUGUGUGUAUGAAUGUGUAUAUGCACAUGUGUGCGUGUAAUGUACACAUAUUCUGUGCUUGUGUGUGUGAGAGAGUGUGCACACAGUAAAUGAGCUGAUACCCAUAAAUAGGAAGGUUUUAACUGGAAAAGAAUUAGGAAAGUAUUCAAAGACAAGGGCUCAGCAAAGGCACUGGGUGCACCGUGGAAACAUGGAGGAUUUGAGGAACUCGAGGCAGAAAGUCAAAGGCCAGGGGACAGGGGGGCAGUGGCUACAGAAGAGUAGUGAGAGAUGACGCAGGAAUGAGUGAAGAAAUGGGAGCAACCCUGCUGAAUGGAAUGCGGCCUGGCUUGAAACAGCAAAAAUGGAGGGGAGAAAGCAUGAACUUAAGCAAUAUUUAG
rnacentral:lncRNA from 1 species